rnacentral:rRNA from 1 species
GACGAACGCUGGCGGCGUGCCUAAUACAUGCAAGUCGAACGCAGUGGGGACGGGUGCGUAACACGUGGGUAACCUCCCAUCAGAGGGGAUAACACUUGGAAACAGGUGCUAAACCGAUACUGAUGGAUGGACCCGCGGUGCAUUAGCGAGUUGGUGAGGUAACGGCUCACCAAGGCCGCGAUGCAUAGCCGGUCUGAGAGGGUGAUCGGCCACACUGGAACUGAGACACGGCCCAGACUCCUACGGGAGGCAGUAGUGGGGAAUCUUCGACAAUGGACGAAAGUCUGACCGAGCCACGCCGCGUGAGUGAAGAAGGUUUUCGGGUCGUAAAACGCUGUUGGUAGGGAAGCGUUAUCUAAACAGAAAGCCACGGCUAACUACGUGCCAGCAGCCGCGGUAAUAC